GAUGAACGCUGGCGGCGUGCCUAAUACAUGCAAGUCGAGCGAACGGACGAGAAGCUUGCUUCUCUGAUGUUAGCGGCGGACGGGUGAGUAACACGUGGAUAACCUACCUAUAAGACUGGGAUAACUUCGGGAAACCGUAGCUAAUACCGGAUAAUAUUUUGAACCGCAUGGUUCAAAAGUGAAAGACGGUCUUGCUGUCACUUAUAGAUGGAUCCGCGCUGCAUUAGCUAGUUGGUAAGGUAACGGCUUACCAAGGCAACGAUGCAUAGCCGACCUGAGAGGGUGAUCGGCCACACUGGAACUGAGACACGGUCCAGACUCCUACGGGAGGCAGCAGUAGGGAAUCUUCCGCAAUGGGCGAAAGCCUGACGGAGCAACGCCUCGUGAGUGAUGAAGGUCUUCGGAUCGUAAAACUCUGUUAUUAGGGAAGAACAUAUGUGUAAGUAACUGUGCACAUCUUGACGGUACCGAAGCAGAAAGCCACGGCUAACUACGU
rnacentral:rRNA from 1 species